ACACAAGUUUGAUAUGUAAAAUGCUUACAGCUGUAGUCAGCAGAUCACUGUCUCAUAACUCAGAAAUACUAUUACAUCUAAAGAACAGAACAGGGUGCAUAGUGGCAUGGCCAUUUUUACACAAAUGACAUCCUCCUCUAGCCCUUUAGUUGUCCUUCCAACCUCUCUAUAGAGUCAAUAUCAUAAACCGCUGCCUUUUAUCAGGAUGUGUCCCCAGCUACUUCAAACAAGCCAUUAUCCAACCCCUACUCAAGAAACCAAACCUGGACUCCUCCCAUCCAAAAAAACAUCUCUAAACUACCUUUCCUCUCCUAAAUUGUGGAGGGGGCCAUUGAAAAGCACCUGACUAAAUUAUGAGUCCGGCUUCUGCAAACUACAGUCCUCUGUAACAGCUCCUUAAAGUCUCAAAUUACAUUUUAAUGGCUGCAGAUGCUGGAACGUCAGUUUUGGUGUUAUUGGAACUUAACGCAGGAUUUGAUACAGUUGACCUGAUCCACAGGCUAAAUCAAAUGUCUAUUAUUUAUUUGACAAUAUUGUUUUAUCCAUGCCUCCGUCGUUAUUAUUAGUAUUAUUAUGGUGACUCACCGAGCACUAACCAGGGUUAGUUUGGCUGAGAAUGUUUUUCAUGUGUUUACCGAGUGUAGCAGAUUAACCAAUUUUUUUUAACCUUUUUACAAGUUUUUAAUCUUUUCAACGUCAGUUUUCUCUCCCUGUUUAUAUUGGUGGAAUCAGGUGGAAUAAAAAUAGCAGUCAAAUGUCGAUUGCUGAUUUUUUUAAUAGCUGAAACCAAAUGUCGAAGAGACAAAAUGCAAAACAAAUAUUGCAUUUUUCACAGUUGAUGUUGCGACCUUGUGGAAGUGCAACAUUAAAGCCAGACUGAGGCUGGUGUUCUGCUUCCGCUCAGUUAAACUGUGUCAAAAAUGGUUAGAGUGUGGUGCUGAUGAUGCCAAAGUCAUGGUUCAACCUCCAUACUGGCCAGUAAUCUGCAUAAAAGGAAGAUACCUAAGCCGAGUGCUGUUAGCCAACUGAAUUCAGUAAUGCAUGCAGUGUUUCUCAUGAAAUCUUGAGAGACCAUGGUGGGUGGAUGUCAGACCCUCUAGGGGGGUUCCAGGGGCAUGGCCCCACCGGAAGAAAAUGUUCGUACAUUUUAAAGUUAAAUCCAUCAAUCUGGUGAACUUUGACAGGAAUUUAGGAGGCUACAUCUCUAAGAACUUUGUGCUCUUGUAAAAAAUGUUUUGCUGCAGUAAAGACUUUAAUGAUAAACAAAUUGUUUGUAUGGAUAAGCAUGAUGAUCACCACCAUUGAUAUACAUCAGAAAAGAAUAUAAAAAUAUAUUGAAUAAAAAUAAAAUGUAUUUAAAAAAUAACAGAUCUGGUCUUGGAUGAGCAGAAGAAGAGUGUACUUUCACUUUAACCUUCACUAGAUGUUCCGACAGAUCACUUGGUGUUUUACUGUCUUUACUUGCAAACAUUUGUUGCACUUGUGGCAACCAGAAUUUUCGACCGGUUCACUCUCUGCACAUCGGAGCAGGUCUGACUCUGAGCGCCUCUGCUGCAGACGAGCAGUGAGAGCUGGCGACGUCCACUGCACCGGACAUGCUUCGACACAGACAGUGACGCACAGAUCUGAUCUCUCCUCACAGGUCACUUUUUGCAGUCAAAAAAAGGAGAAUGCAACCAGCAACACCGCAGACCAAGCAAACAGCCUGCUCCAAACAUAAUUUUGAGGAGCGCACGUACAACGUGAGAAGCAGUGCACUUAUCUCAUCUUAACAGACCUUUUAUGAUGCUCUGAGAACUGUAAAAAUAUUUUCGAUUUGUUACAAGUCUGUGACGCAACAAAUUAGACUAUGACUGACGGCCACAGACUAGUCAAUGAAUGGGACACACAGACAUGCUCAGGGGCACCAAAACAUUGGAUGAGAUGACUGAUUGGUUCACCAGGGUGAAAUGUUACCAGCUGAAACACUGGUUUUAGGCAAGGCAAAUUUAUUUGUAUAGCACAUUUCAAGAACAAGACAAUUCAAAAUGCUUUACAUAAAACAUUAAAAGCAUUGGGAAGAAACAUAUAAAUUACAUUAAAAUACAACAAUUAAAAGAGAAAAUAAAAACAUGUUAAAGUAGAAAAUGAGAGGUGAUAAAAGUUACAGUGCAGUGAAAGAAAGUUUAUUUACUCAGAGGCAGCGGCAAAUGGGGAAGUCUCAAGUCUGGUUUUAAAAGAACUUAGAGUUGCAGCUGUCCUGCUGAU